GACGAACGCUGGCGGCGUGCCUAACACAUGCAAGUCGAGCGAAUGAAGUUCCUUCGGGAACGGAUUUAGCGGCGGGCGGGUGAGUAACACGUGGGCAACCUGCCUCAUAGAGGGGAAUAGCCUUCCGAAAGGGAGAUUAAUACCGCAUAAGAUUGUAGUACCGCAUGGUACAGCAAUUAAAGGAGCAAUCCGCUAUGAGAUGGGCCCGCGGCGCAUUAGCUAGUGGGUGAGGUAACGGCUCACCAAGGCGACGAUGCGUAGCCGACCUGAGAGGGUGAUCGGCCACAUUGGGACUGAGACACGGCCCAGACUCCUACGGGAGGCAGCAGUGGGGAAUAUUGCACAAUGGGGGAAACCCUGAUGCAGCAACGCCGCGUGAGUGAUGACGGCCUUCGGGUUGUAAAGCUCUGUCUUCAGGGACGAUAAUGACGGUACCUGAGGAGGAAGCCACGGCUAACUACGUGCCAGCAGCCGCCGUAA
rnacentral:rRNA from 1 species